CCUACGGGUGGCUGCAGUGGGGAAUAUUGCACAAUGGGGGAAACCCUGAUGCAGCGACGCCGCGUGAGUGAAGAAGUAUUUCGGUACGUAAAGCUCUAUCAGCAGGGAAGAAAAUGACGGUACCUGACUAAGAAGCCCCGGCUAACUCCGUGCAAGCAGCCGCGGGAAUACGUAGGGGGCAAGCGUUCUCCGGAUUUACUGGGUGGAAAGGUAGCGUAGACGGCAGCGCAAGUCUUGCAUGAAAGCCCAUGGCUUAACCAUAGAACUGCGUUGGAAACUAUGCAGCUAGAGUGCAGGAGAGGUAAGCGGAAUUCCUAGUGUAGCGGUGAAAUGCGUAGAUAUUAGGAGGAACACCAGUGGCGAAGGCGGCUUACUGGACUGUAACUGACGUUGAGGCUCGAAAGCGUGGGGAGCAAACAGGAUUAGAUACCCCAGUAGUC
rnacentral:rRNA from 1 species